rnacentral:rRNA from 1 species
GACGAACGCUGGCGGCGUGCUUAACACAUGCAAGUCGAACGGAAAGGCCCUGCUUUUGUUGGGUGCUCGAGUGGCGAACGGGUGAGUAACACGUGAGUAACCUGCCCUUGACUUUGGGAUAACUUCAGGAAACUGGGGCUAAUACCGGAUAGGAGCUCCUGCUGCAUGGUGGGGGUUGGAAAGUUUCGGCGGUUGGGGAUGGACUCGCGGCUUAUCAGCUUGUCGGUGGGGUAGUGGCUUACCAAGGCUUUGACGGGUAGCCGGCCUGAGAGGGUGACCGGCCACAUUGGGACUGAGAUACGGCCCAGACUCCUACGGGAGGCAGCAGUGGGGAAUAUUGCACAAUGGGCGGAAGCCUGAUGCAGAAACGCCGCGUGCGGGAUGACGGCCUUCGGGUUGUAAACCGCUUUCGCCUGUGACGAAGCGUGAGUGACGGUAAUGGGUAAAGAAGCACCGGCUAACUACGUG